GGCAGUGCCGGUGACAUAUCAAUUAGAUGUCCGCCCCAUCAAUUGUUGACGGUAAGGUAGUGGCUUACCGUGGUUACAACGGGUAACGGGGAAUCAGGGUUCGAUUCCGGAGAGGGAGCAUGAGAAAUGGCUGCCAGAUCUAUGGAUUGCAGCAGGUGCGAAAAUUAUCCACUUUUGGCAUAAAGAGAUAGUGAUGAUAAAUAACGGAUCUGGGCAUUUGUUCAGAGAUCGUAAUGAAAUAAUCGUAAAAGCUUUAAUGAACGCAAUUGGAGGGCAAGUCUGGUGCCAGCAGCCGCGGCAAUUCCAGUUCCAAUAGUGUAUACUAAAGUUGCUGCAGUUGAAAAGCUCGUAGUUGGAUCUCGGCUUGCUAGCGCGCGAGGCGUGUGAGUAGGCCUUUGCUGUAGUUGAGUGCUACGGCUUUACCUUGAACAAAAUAGAGUGCUUAAGGCAAGCAUUCUGCUUGAAUAUCUCAGCAUGGAAUAAUAGAAAAAGACUUUUCUGUUGGUUUACCAGUAGUAAAAGUAAUGAUUAACAGAGACAGACGGGGGCAUUCGUAUCGCACCGCUAGAGGUGAAAUUCGUAGAUCGGUGCGGGACGAACUACAGCGAAAGCAUUUGCCAAGGAUGUUUUCAUUAAUCAAGAACGAAAGUUGGAGUAUCGAAGUCGAUUAGAUCUCGUCGUAGUUCCAACUAUAAACGAUGCCAACUAGCACUCCGCUAAUAAGUAUUAGUACGUUAGCGGGUUGCUUCCGGGAAACCAAAGUCUUUGGGCUCCGGGGGAAGUAUGGUUGCAAAGCUGAAACUUAAAGGAAUUGACGGAAGGGCACCACCAGGAGUGGAGCCUGCGGCUCAAUUUGACUCAACACAGAAAAACUCACCCGGGCCGAACACAGUAAGGAUUGACAGACUGAUAGCUUUUUCUUGAUACUGUGGGUAGUGGUGCAUGGCCGUUGUUGGUUGGUGGAGUGAUCUGUCUGGUUAAUUCC
rnacentral:rRNA from 1 species